rfam:Ornithorhynchus anatinus chromosome 1, whole genome shotgun sequence.
ACCCUCUCAGAAUCACACCUGGAGAGUUCCCAGUACUCUACCAGCCUUGGCUACCGAAGGGAUAGGUAAGCAGAAGCAAACCCAUUUCAUUCUUAGCUUGGGCAGUGGCUAGAGAGUGGAAAACAAUCUGCUACAAGU